rnacentral:rRNA from 1 species
CCUACGGGGGGCUGCAGUGGGGAAUAUUGGACAAUGGGGGCAACCCUGAUCCAGCCAUGCCGCGUGUGUGAAGAAGGCCCUCGGGUUGUAAAGCACUUUCAGUGAGGAAGAACGCCUGGUGGUUAAUACCCAUCAGGAAAGACAUCACUCACAGAAGAAGCACCGGCUAACUCCGUGCCAGCAGCCGCGGUAAUACGGAGGGUGCGAGCGUUAAUCGGAAUUACUGGGCGUAAAGCGCGCGUAGGUGGCUUGAUAAGCCGGUUGUGAAAGCCCCGGGCUCAACCUGGGUACGGCAUCCGGAACUGUCAAGCUAGAGUGCAGGAGAGGAAGGUAGAAUUCCCGGUGUAGCGGUGAAAUGCGUAGAGAUCGGGAGGAAUACCAGUGGCGAAGGCGGCCUUCUGGACUGACACUGACACUGAGGUGCGAAAGCGUGGGUAGCAAACAGGAUUAGAUACCCGAGUAGUC